GGAGGCAGAGGGAGGUCCCUGGGGAAGGGUUUCUGCCACUCAUGCAUGGGUGGCCUGGGGUCCAAACUUGGGGUUUUAUACCAGGGCGUGUGAGCAAGGGGCUGCGGCCAGGGGCAGAGCAUUUGCAGACCGCGCGUAGGUCUGGACAGAGCAGGAAGACACCAAGGCUCUGCUUCCUCCCAGCUGUCAAGGCCCAAGGCAACAGGUCACCCCUUCUGAGUCCCUGAGAAAUUGGGAGGUGCUAGUGCAAGGGCACAAAGUUUCAGUUAUGCCAGAUGAACAAGUCCUGGAGUUCUGCUGUAUAAUACGGUGCCUGUAGUUAACAAUACUGUAUUGUGUGCUCAGAAUUUACUGAGGAUGGCUCCUAUCUUAAGUGUUCUUACCAUCCACACAAAGAAUGAUGAUAAUAGGAAUAAUAAUAAAUAAAGGAAUGAAUAGGUCGGGAGGACACCUUUGGAGUGACACAUAUGUUUACGGUGUAGAUUGUGGUGAUGGUUUCAUGGGUGUAAUCUGUCUCCAUACUCACAAAGUUGCAUGUAUUAAUCAUGUACAGCUUUCUGUAUGUCAAUGAUACCUUCAUAAAGUGGUUUAAAAAAAUAAAAUGGGGGGGAAUAUAGUCACUCCAAGUACUGAGCACAUUGCCUGUCACAGUAAAUAAGCAAAUAAAUGUAAUUAUGGUUUAAGCUUAGCUCAGGACUGAGAGUGGGUACUUGGCAGGUGGUGUCUGUGGCCAGCUGCUCCGCCCGGGCUCAGCACUGCUUCUGUGAAGCACAAGGGCUGCCCAAACGCAGAGAGCAGCUCCAGGUGCACACUCCUGACAGAGAAGGCGGGCUGGUCGCAGACACCUUGUUUUGGUUACUUGCUAUUCCUUCCCCCGCACACCCUUUCAUUGUCCUGGUCCUUAACCGUUAACUCCUGUAAGAAGCUGGGUUUGCAGAUUUCUGAAGACAUUUUGCAGUGUGCAGACCUGUUUCACCUUUGUUCCCCAUCCUUGGGUCUGGAGAUAAAGGCGAGAAGACAGUACUCUAUGAAAGCAACAAUCAUAAACCUCAGGACCAAAAAUGGGGUGAAUGUUUCAUGGGUAAAGACCUUUUUCGUAACGAGUGAAGGUGAAGUGAGCAGACUGUGCAGCUCAGAUUCCAGCUGCGUCCCCGUCACUGCCCUCGGGAGUGUGCCGGAAGGACCCCAGAGAGCUGGCCCACUGGGAUGAGCUUACAGCCUUGGGGCCCCAAAGUGCAAGGAUGGUCAGCAUUCCUGGUGCUCUGGGUUCAGCAAGACCUGACUGAGGGACUCUCUUUUCUGGUUGUUGGCUGAGUAUGUAAUGUCCAGUCUGGGUCAUCUAAGGGCCGAGCGCAAGUACUCUGUUCCUGCUGUGACCCGUGCUUCUGCUACCACAUACUGCACAAGAGGUGGAAAGUGGGAACUGCAGCCCAGCAAGCCAUGGACCCAGGCAAUCCUAAAACUGCAAAGUCACCUGUGUUGAUUCCAGCCAGCGUUUACCUCCACGAUGGACGGGACUCACGUGGUACAAGUGACGCAGGGUCAAGCUGGACUGUUGGUUUUCUGCUCCGCCUCUGCUUCCUCUCCGCAUCCUGGACUCUAAAGAAGAUGAAUGAAAUGUCUGCUCUGGUUGCUGGCUGUUUCAUCUCCAACUUAACCUCAGUCUGUGGUUGUGGAGGGCCUCAGAAGUCAGGAAGGUCCCCCGCCGCCAACCUGGGGAGGGUGGGGCUGGACCCAGGCUCCAGCACAGCCCUGACACGCAGUGUGGUCAGUGGGACAUGUUGGCAUGUCUGCAAGGCUGUAGCGCUGCCAGCCCCCCUAUGCUGCCUUCUUGAGGGCUGGCGGUGCCCUUCAGGACUGGCUGCAUCCUUCGUCCCAUUUGAGUGGGCAGUAGUAGAUAAUAAAAUCUCAGAAUAUCCCUUGACCCCUGACCAUCCAGGCAGGCAUCUGCGGUCCUGCAGCUCAGGCCUGCCUGGGCCCUGUCAAGCCCCUGUGGCCAAUCACUGAGCUGACCUUGCUGCUGGGCAAUUGAACAGCUACCUGGGCAGCGUAGACGGCCCCUUGGGAUGUUUCAGUUCCCUACAUCCAUGUGAUUGAGAAAAGGGCCUCCUCCCUCAUAGCCUCUCAGCCUUUUGAGAAGAAAUAACCCUCCAGACAUUGAGUGUGGCCCUGGCCACAACCAGCAUACAGCAGACCGUGGCCCUGCAAUCCUUUGGCCUUCGGGUUGUUGCAAACCUUUGACAUUCAUACUCAUUAAAAAUCAAAGGAAUGGGAGCAAGUGGCUUCCCAACUGGUGUUUUCCCUCUGAGGCUAUGUGGUCUCCAGGAGCCAUGCGCAUCCCGGGCCUAGUCCCUGCGGCCUCCGGAAAGCCAGCCAACUGUGGAUUCCACGGUAUAGAAUAAUCCUUGAGACACUGCUCCGUUGAGUAACAGUUUCCUUACCACCUACCAUUUGGUUUCUGUUCUCUGUAAAGGAGAGAGCAGAGACUGGAAAAUUAGCAAAUGUGUUCUGUGGAGAUGGGUGAUUAAUAUAGUCAGAGGGCAGGUGUGACUCCUGGGCUCCCACCUCCCAGGGACACAAAUGAAGUCUGUGUGCCUUUUGAGGUACACUGGCAAUCAGGGCCAGCCUCUGAUAUGAGGCCCCGAUGCCCAAAGCAAGAGUCUUGAGUUUCCCACCAACAGCGAAAUUGCUAUUUUAGCUAGUGGAAGAGCUUCCUGCCAUCAAGGGAGGACAGCAAGAGCCCUGGAUGGGUGACCACAGUCACUGACCUUAACUGAACCUCUUCUUUUCUGUUAAAAUGGACAUUGAGUGGGUGUCGCCUGCAGUUUCUGGAAGCCCUGGAUGCAGUGAGAGAGAGUGUUCCUGUGAAUGGGGCCACCCAAAGGCAUUUAGCAGGACAAAGGAUUGGAGGGAGACCAGAUCACACUGCAAGAGAGUGAGCCACCAGAACUGCCAGGGGACACGGGUUCGAGACCUGGUCCGGGAAAAUCCCACAUGCCGCAGAGCAGCUAUGCCCGUGUGCCACAACUACUGAGCCCCCACGCCUAGAGCCCGUGCUCCGCAACAAGAGAAGCCACCGCAAUGAGAAGCCCGUGCACCGCAGUGAAGAGAAGCCCCCCUCACCGCAACUAGAGAAAUCCCGUGUGCAGCAAUGAAGACCUAACG